CCAUUUUUCUAGGUAUACUUCUAAAGGAUCCUCUGUGUAUGCCAUCAUGAUCACCAAGCCCCCCAAGCUCACAAUGCUACUACUGGGACCCAAAACAUCUGCCGUCACUAAGGUGACUUUGUUGGGAAAUUCGAAACCUCUCCCCUGGUCUCCGGUUAGCCCGGGUGGGGGUCUCACUGUCCUUCUGCCUGAGCUGCCCUAUGCCCCCGGGCAGGCCUGGACACUCAAACUGGACGGCAUCCUUUAAGCCUUGAACCUUUUAAAAUGCUGAAUAUCAUGAUUUUUAAUAUCUCAGGUUUUAAUUAUCUUUCUGGGAUAUGGGUAUGCACUAUGGUUAAAGGGACAGCGCUUGUUUAAUGGCUUAGUAUUUGUGCCAAACAUGAAAGAAUGAAACACUCCUCUUCAAUGAUUCCUUUUGUAGCUCUGAGGACUUCAGAUUGAAUGUGUCACUGCCUCUUAAUUGUGCUCUUUUAGAUACAAAUAUUGAAUGAAAAGUGGUAUCUUCUGUUCGGCUUGUGAAGCUCUCCUGGCAGCUCCCCAGCUGUCCAAUUGCUGUUUCAGAAAUAAUUAAUUAGGAGGGUUUGUUGGAAAAUAAACCGUUUACAUACAAUGCACUUUUUAUUUGUUUUACUGUAUACUCUAAAAACCACUGAAUAAAAAGAUGAUUUGUUUUUUCUGA